rnacentral:rRNA from 1 species
GAAGAGAGAGUUCAAAAGUACGUGAAACUGUUCAGAGGUAAACAGGUGGGCCCUCGAAAUCCUGUGUCGGGAGCAUUCAGUCGGGAAGGUGAGACGCACGCCGGGAUAUCACGAAGAAGGUUCCCGCGACGGGGCCGUCCCGGCGUCGCGAUUCGAUCUCGACCGACGCAUUUGCUUCCCGUCCGAAGGACGCCGCAACCGGUUGGAUCCCGGCCUUACGGGCGAGACACCGCAGGUGGCCGGUGGCGUGCCUCGUGCGCGUCGCCGGUUGUUAGCAGUCUCGUCGCACGGCUCGGGGACCGACCGUGGCAAUAGAGAGGCCUCUUUGGGCUUCGACGUCUCCUCCUUUAAAAGGUUGCGGGUGUACAAGCGUGGCAGGAGCAAGGCAGCUCUUCGGCGCACGGACCGACUCCGUGGCCCGGAGCAACGCCGGCUUCGUUGGCAGCGCGAACCCCGUAGGAGUGCACGACGUUUCGCGGCGAGUAGAUCGGUCACCCACCUGACCCGUCUUGAAACACGGACCAAGGAGUUGAACAUGCGUGCGAGUCAAUGGGUCUCGAUUAAGCCCAGAGGCGCAAUGAAAGCAAAGGUCGGAUUCACUCCGGCCGUGUCGGGACCCGGCUCCUUCUAGCGAGUCGGGCGCACCGACGACACGUCCUGUUCCACUCGUGGAUUGGGCGUAGUCUGAGCACGCACGUUCUGACCCGAAAGAUGGUGAACUAUGCCCGGGCAGGACGAAGCCAGAGGAAACUCUGGUGGAGGU